CCUACGGGGUGCAGCAGUCGAGAAUCAUUCACAAUGGGGGAAACCCUGAUGGUGCGACGCCGCGUGGGGGAAUGAAGGUCUUCGGAUUGUAAACCCCUGUCAUGUGGGAGCAAAUUAAAAAGAUAGUACCACAAGAGGAAGAGACGGCUAACUCUGUGCCAGCAGCCGCGGUAAUACAGAGGUCUCAAGCGUUGUUCGGAAUCACUGGGCGUAAAGCGUGCGUAGGCUGUUUCGUAAGUCGUGUGUGAAAGGCGCGGGCUCAACCCGCGGACGGCACAUGAUACUGCGAGACUAGAGUACUGGAGGGGGAACCGGAAGUCUCGGUGUAGCAGUGAAAUGCGUAGAUAUCGAGAGGAACACUCGUGGCGAAGGCGGGUUCCUGGACAUUAACUGACGCUGAGGCACGAAGGCCAGGGGAGCGAAAGGGAUUAGAUACCCCUGUAGUC
rnacentral:rRNA from 1 species